UAGGGAAUCUUCCACAAUGGACGCAAGUCUGAUGGAGCAACGCCGCGUGAGUGAAGAAGGUCUUCGGAUCGUAAAGCUCUGUUGUUGGUGAAGAAGGAUAGAGGCAGUAACUGGUCUUUAUUUGACGGUAAUCAACCAGAAAGUCACGGCUAACUACGUGCCAGCAGCCGCGGUAAUACGUAGGUGGCAAGCGUUGUCCGGAUUUAUUGGGCGUAAAGCGAGCGCAGGCGGAAUGAUAAGUCUGAUGUGAAAGCCCACGGCUCAACCGUGGAACUGCAUCGGAAACUGUCAUUCUUGAGUGCAGAAGAGGAGAGUGGAACUCCAUGUGUAGCGGUGGAAUGCGUAGAUAUAUGGAAGAACACCAGUGGCGAAGGCGGCUCUCUGGUCUGCAACUGACGCUGAGGCUCGAAAGCAUGGGUAGCGAACAGGAUUAGAUACCCUGGUAGUCCAUGCCGUAAAACGAUGAGCGCUAGGUGUUGGGGACUUUCCGGUCCUCAGUGCCGCAGCAAACGCAUUAAGCGCUCCGCCUGGGGAGUACGACCGCAAGGUUG
rnacentral:rRNA from 1 species